CCUACGGGAGGCAGCAGUGAGGAAUAUUGGUCAAUGGACGCGAGUCUGAACCAGCCAAGUCGCGUGAAGGAUGACGGCUCUAUGAGUUGUAAACUUCUUUUGUAAGAGAGUAAAACCAGGCACGUGUGCCUUUUUGCAAGUACUUUAUGAAUAAGGAUCGGCUAACUCCGUGCCAGCAGCCGCGGUAAUACGGAGGAUCCGAGCGUUAUCCGGAUUUAUUGGGUUUAAAGGGAGCGUAGGUGGUUUGUUAAGUUAGUUGUGAAAGUCUGCGGCUCAACCGUAGAACUGCAUUUGAUACUGUCAGGCUAGAGUACAGUUGAGGUAGGCGGAAUUCGUGGUGUAGCGGUGAAAUGCAUAGAUAUCACGAAGAACACCGAUUGCGAAGGCAGCUUACCAAACUGUGACUGACAUUGAGGCUCGAAAGUGUGGGUAGCAAACAGGAUUAGAUACCCGAGUAGUC
rnacentral:rRNA from 1 species